rnacentral:rRNA from 1 species
CCAAAAAUGGUUCACCCUUUAAAGGCCAUAUGUUGUUGUGAAACCUUUGCAGAAUGUGCCGCAUCAUGGAUUAUAAAUACCAUCCAGUUGCAAAAAUUUUCAAUCCAAGCAAUUGGGAAUAUGGUACCAUUUUAUUAACGACAAAUAAAGUGCCAGCAGUCGCGGUCACACUUUAGGUAAACGUAAAGGUAGAAAGGAUAUUUUAAGUAAGUUGAUCUUAUUAAUAGUGAAAUGUAAAUACUUAUUAUAUAUUAUUUUACUUUUUUAUAGUUGUAAAAACUGAUCACAAACAGGGAUUAGACACCCCUUUAUGCAGUAGGCAUAAGUAUAUUCUGGGUACUAAAACUUACUAAGUUAAAACCCAAGCAACAUGGCGGUAGUUUUGAAUAUUUAGGGGAACUUACUAAGUAAAUGAUAACCACCAAGGAAAUGUACGCAAACUUAAAUUUUACAUACCGUCGUCGUCAGAUAUACUAUAAUAGGAUAUCAAAAUAUAGCCAUAUAUUAAAGGACAGACCGAGGUGUAGACUAUGUUUUCGUUAUAGCGAGUUACUAUAAAAAUUGAUUCCAUACAACAACUUUAACGUUGCUAUUUGUAGGACUUAAAAGUAAUAAGUAUAUUAAGUAUAUUAUAUGAAUAAUAGUCUUGCUGUGC